GUCCUUUUUUGAAGUUUUUACGAUUUUUUCCAAAGGAAAGAUAUGAAAUAUUGGUAUCAUUAGAAAGGUGCUUGAGAAACGCUUUAAAUUCCAUAUCAGAAAUUUUUCUGUAACAAUAAAAAUAAUAUACAUUUUCUAAUUUUUCGCGAAAUUUUCGGAUUUUUUACAUUUAAACAUAGAUGAAGUUAAUAUAAUUCGUUAAAAAUUAAUACAUAAUAAUACUCAAUAAAAUCAACGAAACGGGACAAAAAUUUUGAGAAAUGGUAUCUUAGAAUGAACUAAAUUUUAGUUGUAUUUAUGUUAACAUUGAAAUUUUGUAUUUAGAAUAUUAAUCAACUAGAAAGUUCCGUGGAGGAGUUGACAGCCACUACAGUUUAACAAAACACUGUGAUAAUGGAAGCAUUUGCCAUACAUAAAGUGUGGGAAAGAGAAAAGGUCUUCUCAAUUCAGACUGCCGGUGACUUAACAGAUAUUAAUAAUAAAAUAAAUGAAACUAAUCGUGCAGCUUAUGCUCGUUUUAUGUAUGUCAUCUAUACUUAAAGGACAACUUCAUAAAUUGCUUAUGGAUUUUUUAAGUUAAUUUAAUUAUUGCAUCAAAUAUCGAUGGAGAAAAGUUUCGAUUAAACAUUUUAAAAAAAUGUACAUUUUAUUUAUUUUUUAUUUGCAUUUAUCAAUUAUUUUUUCUGUUUCAUUUGAUAGAUUCAUAAAUAAACAAAAAGAAAGAAUCUUCAGGAAAUAAGAAUUAGGAAAUUCUAAUGGAUAAUUAGCGGGAUUAGAAUUAAAAAUUUGUAUAUGUAUGUAUAUUAAACACUUUUGUAUAUUAUAUUUAGAAUGUAUAAGACUUUUAUAUUGUUACUAGCUAUACACAGUGUGCUUUGCUACCCUAAAAGCAAUGUAAAUAAAAAACACAUUACGAUUUUGAAGAUUCUAACUAUAAUAGUUUUCCAGAUAUAUAUUUUUUACAUAUUGGGGAUGAAACGCAAAUCAUUGUUCGCCAAUUUUUCCAAACGUUAAUUUAGAUUUUAAUGUAAACUAUGAAAAAUUUGAAUAGUAUAAUAUUUUCCCAGAUGGGAAAUGCCUAGGUCCUCUAGGUUCGACCAUUUUUCACUAAAUGUUCACAUGAAUGACAAAGUUUUUCAUGUAAAAUGUUUGUAUUUAAUUCAUAUGGGAGGUUCCAAUUUGCUAGUCCGCCAAUUUGCUAAAAUGUUCACAUUGAUGUCAAAGAAUUUUUGCUCUAAUAGUUUCCCACACAUUUAAUUCUAUUUAAUUCAUAUGGGAGGUUCAAACCCCCUCUAAUAAAGGUCCGCCCAUUUUCCUCAACAUGUUCAAAUAAAUGUUAAAUUUCUUCGUGGAAAA